rnacentral:rRNA from 1 species
AUAGCGUAUAUUAAAGUUGUUGCAGUUAAAAAGCUCGUAGUUGAACCUUGGGCCUGGCUGGCCGGUCCGCCUCACCGCGUGCACUGGUCCGGCCGGGUCUUUCCUCCUAGGGAACCGCAUGCCCUUCACUGGGUGUGCUGGGGAACUAGGACUUUUACUUUGAAAAAAUUAGAGUGUUCAAAGCAGGCCUAUGCUCGAAUACAUUAGCAUGGAAUAAUGAAAUAGGACGUGUGGUUCUAUUUUGUUGGUUUCUAGGACCACCGUAAUGAUUAAUAGGGAUAGUCGGGGGCAUCAGUAUUCAAUUGUCAGAGGUGAAAUUCUUGGAUCAAUUGAAGACUAACUACAG